UAGCGGUGUGACUUAGGCAUGCAAGUCGCGCGUGAAAGUCGCAAGACGAGUAAAGCGGCGAAAGGGUGCGUAACACGUAAUCAAUCUACCCUCGAGACUGGGAUAGCCACUGGAAACGGUGGGUAAGACCAGAUGGUCCACUGGGAGGCAUCUCCUGGCUGGUAAACGGUGGCGAAAGCUGCUGCUCGGGGAGGAGGUUGCGGGCUAUCAGCUAGUUGGUGAGGUAACGGCCCACCAAGGCGAUGACGGNUACCGGGUCUGAGAGGACGGUCCGGCACACUGGGACUGAGAACUGCCCAGACUCCUACGGGAGGCUGCAGUCGUGAAUCUUCCCCAAUGGGCGAAAGCCUGACGGAGCGACANCGCGUGUAGGAUGAAGGNCUUCGGGUUGUAAACUAC
rnacentral:rRNA from 1 species